rnacentral:rRNA from 1 species
UGGGGAAUAUUGCACAAUGGGCGCAAGCCUGAUGCAGCCAUGCCGCGUGUAUGAAGAAGGCCUUCGGGUUGUAAAGCACUUUCAGCGGGGAGGAAGGUGGUAAGGUUAAUAACCUUAUCAAUUGACGUUACCGACAGAAGAAGCACCGGCUAACUCCGUGCCAGCAGCCGCGGUAAUACGGAGGGUGCAAGCGUUAAUCGGAAUUACUGGGCGUAAAGCGCACGCAGGCGGUUUGUUAAGUCAGAUGUGAAAUCCCCGGGCUCAACCUGGGAACUGCAUCUGAUACUGGCAAGCUUGAGUCUCGUAGAGGGGGGUAGAAUUCCAGGUGUAGCGGUGAAAUGCGUAGAGAUCUGGAGGAAUACCGGUGGCGAAGGCGGCCCCCUGGACGAAGACUGACGCUCAGGUGCGAAAGCGUGGGGAGCAAACAGG